rnacentral:tRNA from 1 species
UUCUGGGUGGUCCAGUGGUUAAGACUCCGCACUCCCAAUGCAGGGGGUUCGGGUUCAAUCCCUGGCCAGGGAA